UGACCUCAAAUCAGGUAGGACWACCCGCUGAACUUAACCAUAUCAUUAACCGAAGGA
rnacentral:rRNA from 1 species